rnacentral:rRNA from 1 species
GGGCCCGCACAAGCGGUGGAGCAUGUGGUUUAAUUCGAUGAUACGCGAGGAACCUUACCAGGGUUUAGAUGCAGAACGACAGGGGUGGAAACACCCCCCUUCUUCGAACGGACUGCAAGGUGCUGCAUGGUUGUCGUCAGCUCGUGCUGUGUAGUGUCGGGGUUAAGUCCCAUAACGUGCGCAACCCCCAUUUCUAGUUGCCAGCGGUUCGGCCGGGGACUCUAGAGAAACUGCCAGCGUAAGCUGUGAGGAAGGUGGGGAUGACGUCAAAUCAUCACGGCCCUUACAUCCUGGGCCACACACGUGCUACAAUGGUGGGGACAACAGGUUGCCAACCCGCGAGGGUGAG